GGAACCACAUCCUUACCUAAAUUGGAUGUUUACCUUCAGAGAUUGCCCUGGAAUGUGAUGAACGUUCUGUAGCCCCGAGAAACGGGAAGGCCCAUGAGGGUGGGGAAUUGCCAAGGGACUGGAAAGCAGGGAAGCAGGUGUCCCUGGAUAAGGGUCAUGAUGUAACAACCAAACUCACCUGUAACAACCAAAUUCACCUGUAACAAACUCACGGGUUGUAUAAAAGGGAAGAGAAAAAUAAACUCGUAGCUCGGUCUUGGGAGCCCUGACGACUCUGUCUUUUUUCUUUUGAAGUGUGUUUUUUCUUUCAUCCUCACCCCUCCUCUCAGAUGCACACGUUGAAAAUACCGUCCCCUCCCCCACACACAGUGAUGAUAUUAGGAGGUGAGAUCUGGGGGAGACGAGGAGGUUGGAGAGUACUUCCUCAGGAGUGGGACUGGUGUCUUAACAUAGAGACCCGCAGGGCGCUGGCUUGCCCUCCCGCCACAUGAGGACACGGUCAGACAGCGCCACCUAUAGACCGGGAGGUGGAGUUCACGAGACACCCAUCUGCCGGCACUUUGAUCUUGCAUUUCUGACCUCCAGAAUCUGAGGAAUGAAUUUCUGUCAUUUCCGAGCUCCUGGUCUGUGGAGUUCGGUUCUAAGACACCCACCUGUGCCUGAAGCUCACAGGGUGACCACUCGAGACAGUGGGCGAAGCCUGGGCACACGGGCAGCACGUGGGCCAGGGACCCGCAGUGAGGGUCCGCACAUGAAAAGCGGGACAAGCAGCAGGUGAGGUCCAUCGGCCAAAGUGGCUUCUCCCCCGGUGCACUGGCCUCACCGCAGUGUUUCUCUGCAGAUCCGGUCUCCUGCCCACCCCCUGUGACUGAGCUUCAUACACCCAGGACUUCACCUCUCCUCCUGGGCCCACCUGUGACCUGCGUGCCGCCCCCUCCCGGCUCUGUGAUCUCCUCUGGGGCUCUGACCCUCUUGUCCGUGCCUCUGUUUGUGGUUCCAUUCUUUGCUUUGAUGUCUCUUCCCCUAUAACCUGCAUAGACCUGCAGGCCAGAUGGCCAGGAAAGGUAAGAGUGAUUCAUAAAGUGUUCUAAGUUACUGGAUUCUGCAUGGUUCCAUAGCUACGUAUGAAAUAUCUUCGACUUUGCCUCAUCCUACAAAGCCCGAAAGUGCUUACUACUGGGACCUUCUCUGAGCUGUCUGCCAACCUCCAUUCAAGGUUCUACUUGGACCAUUUCACACCCAGUAUGCCAGCCACUCACCCCUGAAUCCCAGCAAGGUCCUUCCAAGCAGGCUGGCCCUACCUCCCUGUGGGGACCGGGAGAAAGUACAUUGCACUGUGUGUGUGUGCGUGUGUGUGAGAGAGAGAGAGAGACAGACAGACAGACAGACAGUCUUGCUAUGUAGCCCAGGCUGGCCUCAAACGCACAGCAAUCCUCUGGCUUCAGCCUUCCAAAUGCUGGGAUCACAGGCAUGCGCCACUAUGGCCAAUAGUGUGAAUCGGAAGAAAUGCUUCCAGCCCUAGCUCCAGUCACCAACUUGUUUUGUGACCUUGCUGCACACUCCCUCUGCACCUCCAGUCCCUCUCUGUCAUAUGGGGAGUGCAACUGAGCCUCAGCCGGAGGUGCUCGUGGAGCAGCAGGUCCUCGGACCCUUAUCCUGCAAACCGGGAGGAGAUUGCGUGGGAGAGGGAGGCGCAGGUGUCCCAGGAGGCACUGCGUGGAGCCCAGGAUGAAUCCUCGGGCCAGGUGUGAGUGUGAGUCACUCAGGCUCACUGGCAGACACAAGUGCCACACACCGUACGUGUGCACACUUGCACACACACCCGGAAACUUUACAUACCACACAGACAUCACACACACGUACAUCACCCACCCACCACACCACAGACAGACACACUCAUCACAUCGCUCAGCAUACACACACAUACCACACACACACGCGUAUACUCCUGCUCUCAGCUCUGUCCUAGCAAGCACACAGAUGCCACAUGAACACACUCACUACCUGCCGCAGACACACGGACACCACACACAGAUCUGGGCACACAGACUGACACUGCCCACACACACAAGCCACACGUGGGCACAGAGCCACCCCCACACACGGGGGCCCACAGCCGUGCCGCGGCACCCUGGACCUCAGCCUGGGAGCCUGGGAGGGCUCGGCCUGCCUGUUCUUGGGGGCCCCACCUCCACGCUUGGUCCUUGGGGUCAGCUCUUCAGAAACCAGGGAGUUAAAUCCGGGCCCAGUUCCCUGUUCUGGGUAUUGUGCACAACUGGAGGGUUACUAUGGGGGUGGGGGACUCUUCCUAUUUUAAAGCUGGGUUCAACUCCCGGUACUAUUAAAAAUAAGCCAAUAAACAAAAACUGAGUUUGAAAGAGAAAAAUAUGGGGCAAACAAGAUUUUGUGGGGGUCAGGAGGCACUGGGUUUUGGAGCAGUCAGGAGAGGGGUCCGAGCAGCUGCAACCAGAGUUUGGGGGUGCACUGUGGGGCUCAGCAAUGCAGGGCCCUGUAAAGAAAGUGGGUGCAUUUCGAUACCAAACAUCUUACAAUAGUGUUUCUGCCGAAAG
rnacentral:lncRNA from 1 species